rnacentral:rRNA from 1 species
GACGAACGCUGGCGGCGUGCUUAACACAUGCAAGUCGAACGGAAAGGCCCUGCUUUUGUGGGGUGCUCGUGUGGCGAACGGGUGAGUAACACGCGAGUAACCUGCCCUUGACUGUGGGAUAACUUCAGGAAACUGGGGCUAAUACCGGAUAGGAGCUCCUGCUGCAUGGUGGGGGUUGGUAAGUUUCGGCGGUUGGGGAUGGUCUCGCGGCUUAUCAGCUUGUUGGUGGGGUAGUGGCUUACCAAGGCUUUGACGGGUAGCCUGCCUGAGAGGGUGACCGGCGACAUUGGUACUGAGGUACGGACCAGACUCCUACGGGAGGCAACAGUGGGGAAUAUUGCAGAGUGGGCGGAAGCCUGAUGCAGCAACGCCGCGUGCGGGAUGACGGCCUUCGGGUGAUAAACCGCUUUCGCCUGUGACGAAGCGGGAGUGACGGUAAUGGGUAAAGAAGCACCGGCUAACUACGUG